AGGAGGAACAAAUAAGGUUUUUGAAAUAGAAGCAGGAAAUGCUGGGAAAACUCGGCAGGCCUGACAGCAUCUGUGGAGACAGAAACAGAAAGUUAACGUUCCGAGUCUGUGUGACCUUUCUUCAGAGCUAAAGAAAUGUGAUGACAUUUAUACUGUUUAAGCCGAUGAAGCUGGAAAAAAGGCCAGCAAUAGGUAGGGGCAGAGGAGAAAUUGGCAAAGAUGUCGUGAACAGAAGACAAAGGGAGUGUAAAUGGAUCCGGAUUUUCUCGGCCACUGAGCCCACUGGAAAAUCUCGACUACAGCUCCUCAUACCCUGCUUCCUAAGCUUCCCCAUCACCAAGGACUGGCCUGUUGCUGGGCUUAUCUUUAUGCCCUUUGGGGUCUUGGGGUGAAAAGCAUCUGCAACAGGAAAGAGAACAUUGCAUUCUGACCAAUUCCACAACAGCAGCUGUUUAGGUCCCUCUCCGGGUCACUGAGUCUGAGAGUCUCUUUAAAAAAAAAUCACUUACAAACUGUCUUAUAAAGCCUCACAUUCAUAACAAAGGCCCUAAAACAAUAUCAUCAACACUGUCAUGGAAGGUUCUUGCAAAUCAAGUGGGAGGACAAAAGGGCAAAGAUGAGCAUUCUCAAGAUGCAGACAUGUCAAGUAUAGAGACCAUGAUAAUCUCAUAUCAGCUGGGAUGGACCAGACAUAACGUCAGAAUGCCUGAAGGCUGCCAUUACAGGUGUUCUACUCAGAGCUACGCCAGGAAGCCUGUUUACACGCAGGUCAAAGGAAAUAUUUCAAAGACAAUCUCAAAGCCUCCAUUAAGCCCUAUUAACAACACAUGGGAAGCAGAUGCCCAAUCAAUGAUGGUUCCAAAAUGGCUCCAUUCAUCAUCAAAAGUUAUGUCAAGCCUUCCAAUCAACAAGAGCAACUGCAGAAAGAGAACAGCAAUUGAGCCAUAAAAAGGGAAUUCAGCUCAUCAGGCCAACAAUCUGCCACCACCUCCACCAGCUGAUAAUUGAUGUCUUCACUGUGGGUGAGCCUGGAAGGCUAAGAUAAAGCUGAGAUAAGGCAUCUGUGAACCCACCGCCAACACAGACAUCUCACUUAAACCAAGCUGUUCACAAGGAAGAAUUAUCCUCAAAACAGUUGCCAGGUCGAUGAUCUCCAAAAUUGUCUGAGCUUGGAUUAACUAUCAGGUCAAAUGCUAAGAUUGUUAGUUUUCUCCAAUAACAAUGAAAUAAUUUGUUUUAGAAUAGUAAAGAUUACUUUGCCAAUUUGAAUUCUCAACAAUCCUGAUUUCAGUAGUGCUAAACGAGGGAGAAUACAAAAAUAAAAAUAUUGAGCCCAAAAUACACAGUACCCCAAAUGUGGUCUAAUCAAAAUGUUAUGUGAAUUUCAACAUUACCCUCUCUGUUUUGCAUUCUAUUCCUCUAGGAAUGAACCCCAGAACAUUAUUUUGGACUCCUCAUGAACUUUUCAAUUUAUGUUGUUACUUUUAGUGAUUUAGGAAUCUGUAUUCCCAGAUCUGUUUGCACCUCUACCUCAUUUCUCAUGGAAUACUACAGCACAGAGAGAGGCCAUUUGGUCCAUUGUGCCUGUGCUGGUUCUUUGAAAGAGCUAUCCAAUUAGUCCCACUUUUUGCUCUUUCCAUUUAGCCCUACAAAUAUUUCCUUUUAUUAUAGAAUCUUUACAGCACAGAAGAAGUCCAUUUGGCCCAUUGUGUCAGUGUUGGUUCUCCUAUGGAGCAAGUCAUGUACUGCUACUUCCCCAUCCUCUCCUCACAUCCAUGCAUAUUCCUCCUUCUCAGAUAUUUAGAAAAUGUCGAAAAUUUAUGGCAGAGAAGAAGGCCGCUCUGCCCAUUGUGUUGAAAUACAAGCCACCCAGCCUCAUCCCAUUUAUAGAGUAUAUUCAAUACCCUCUUGGAAGCUACUAUUGAAUCCGCUAACAUCGUUCUUUCAGAUAGUGUAUUGAUUUGAGCUGGAAUGCACUAUGUUAAAAAAACACCUUAUCCUGAACCCCUCUUCCCAUUCUUAAGUUUCUUAACUUCUGAGGAAUAUGUCAUUUCCUUACUUCUCCUGUCAAAGUGAAUCGCUGUACAUUUUGCUAUUUUGAAUUUAAUUUGCCAUUUAUCUUCUUACACUACAAACCCACCUAUGUCUUCCCAUAUUUUGGUGUAGUUCUCCACUUUAUUAGCUAUACAUUCCCUUACCCCACUGCUCCCCCCGCCACCCCACCCACUUCAUUAGACAUCAUCUACAAAUUUCAUCACCAUAACUCCAAUUUCUGAGUCCAAGUUAUUCAUGAUGUAUGGUGAAUAACAAUGGUUCCACCCCAGAACUCUCACUUUCUGACAGAUUGAGGAACCUUCCUUAAUUUCUACUCUCAGUUUUCUGCUUUUUAUGUGCUGUAUCAUUCUAUGAUCUAUUUAUUUACUCUUCCUUCAUCCACCUAUCAAUCUUUCAAUCCAUUCUGUUUUCUGGGCCCUGACUGCACUGUCCUUUGUCUCAAAUCACUUAUGUGGCAUCUUAUCAAAGUCAUCCGAAAGUUCACGUACACCACAUUCACAUGUAUGUUCACAUGAGUGUGCAUUCACAUGUAAAUCAUGUUCACUAUAUUCAAAGAAUUCAAUAAAGUUGGUUAAAAAUGGCCCCCCUGUGAGAAAUCCAUUCCAACUAUUUUUUAUUAUUUUCUCUCUCUUUAGAUGUUCUGUUAUCUAAUCUUUUAGCAAAGAUCCUGUUUUUCCUACUGUGUUAAGCUGUCUAUAUUAACUAAAUAUCCCUCUUGACUUUACUAUUGUCAUUUUCUUCUUCAAUAAAAACUAAGAUAAAAUAACUAUUCAGUACUUUCUGUGAAUUUAUCUUCUCAAGCCCUAUUCCUUUCUCAGUUUUUUGUUAUUGCUUAUAUGCCUACGGAAUAUUUUACAUUUAUAUACAUUUCUUAUUUCCUCUUUGAUCUUCUAAUUGUCUUUUGUGUCUUUUUCUGAAGUUCACCUCUUUUGUUUCCAUAAAGGUUUCAAUUCUUGUACAGUUUAUACAGUAUAUCAAUAGUGAAUCAGAGUCAAAGUUGUAAUGGGAAAUCUCUGGUAGAAAUUACUUACACAGUUGUAUAAUUAUGGUGAAUGUCAGCUUUGGCUCAAUUGGUAAGCUCCUUGCCUUGAAAUCAGAACCAAACUAAGUGAAAGGAGAAACUAAAAGUGCUAAAAAUUUCAAAUAAAAAUAGAAACUGACAGAAGUAUGCUGUUAGGCAGUUGGCAUCUGAAAGAAAAAAUGACAAUAUACCUUUUGUUAGAACCUUGUCAAUAUAAAUAUGGCACUAUAUUUGUGAUACGAUGUUCAUAUUUUGAUUAAAGAAAAGUAUUUGGGAAAA